rnacentral:rRNA from 1 species
GACGAACGCUGGCGGCGUGCUUAACACAUGCAAGUCGAGCGAUGAAGUUCCUUCGGGAAUGGGUUAGCGGCGGACGGGUGAGUAACACGUGGGUAACCUGCCUCGUAGAGGGGAAUAGCCUUCCGAAAGGAAGAUUAAUACCGCAUAAGAUUGUAGUACCGCAUGGUAUAGCAAGUAAAGGAGUAAUCCGCUAUGAGAUGGACCCGCGUCGCAUUAGCUAGUUGGUGAGGUAACGGCUCACCAAGGCGACGAUGCGUAGCCGACCUGAGAGGGUGAUCGGCCACAUUGGGACUGAGACACGGCCCAGACUCCUACGGGAGGCAGCAGUGGGGAAUAUUGCACAAUGGGGGAAACCCUGAUGCAGCAACGCCGCGUGAGUGAUGACGGUCUUCGGAUUGUAAAGCUCUGUCUUCAGGGACGAUAAUGACGGUACCUGAGGAGGAAGCCACGGCUAACUACGUGCCAGCAGCCGCCGUAAAAC